rnacentral:lncRNA from 1 species
UAAGAUAUCACACAUUCCCAACCUCCAUAUUGGGCUUUGACAAGUAAUUUCUUCUCUUACUCUGAUUUGCUUUGUUGUUGUUUUUAAUCUAAUUAAGAAGCGUAAAUAGCAUUUUGAAUCAAACUCUAUAUCAGAAAUCUGCAAUACUUACUUUCUAAUAUUCUGAUUUUCAUAUCCUAUGAAUAUACGAUUUUUAAUUUGUGAGAUGGGUAACGUUACUGUAAAAGAUUAUUAAUGCAAUAUGAGUAAUUCUUUUGCAGGACAAGUGACCUACAUUUAGUUUGGCUUUGGAGUUGAAUAAUAACCUUUCGAGGUCCCGACAACCAAAAAACGAAGCUUAAUUUGCCACAGAUUGCACGUAUUGCCAUUAUUGACAAUUUUCUGCACAAGCGUGACUGAACUUAGGUUGAUGUCAAAAGAGGUAAAUUAUUGGCAUGCCUGACUAUUUUGACCAUUACAUGAUUCAUAAGUUUACAUUAAUUUUGAUUUUGAGUUGAGUGAUUAAUUUUCUAUGUUUGCUUACUUUAACUGGGUGACCAAUUUCUUGUAACUAAAUGUAUGAUGUGAUGCAGGAAGCAGGGCAGGAUAUGAAAAGAGAAGCUUAUUAGAGGAAGGAUUGCCAGUAACAGAAUCCAAAGAAAAAGAAACCAUUUCGAGGCAGCAGUUGGCAGUUGGCAGUGAAUGGAGCCCCUUGAAAAAGUUCCCAAGCCGUUGCACUGCAAUUACGAUCAUCCUCGGCCUCAGGUAAUUUCUUCUCCUGCAUUUUUGUUAUUUGCUAUCAAGUGACUAUUUUAAGUAUGAUUGCAUUAAGCUGCUACUGGGAAAUUUGAGGUUUUGAGGACUGCCCAUGCUAUUGUCAGAAGCUGCGGUUCUUUUCAUCAGCCUGAACCUGGACCUGCCGCUAUGGAUAACUCAGGUUUUUUUUUUUUUUAAUCAACUGCCAUCUUUUCCACUGUUUAGAAACUCUUAAGAUUAAACUUUAGUAAAGAUGUUUUAGUUAUCCAUGUAAUCAGGCUGAGGAUACUUAGCUGCCUAUUUAGGCAAAUGUCAGAAUUUAGUUUGUUCGCUGGGAACUGGUGUGGACUGGCAAAGGAUGAUGAGAUAGUUUUUUGAGUGAGUAAAUUUUGGGAGCUUGAGUGUAUUGGGAUUUGCAAUUACAAUCAUCCUCUGCCUCAGGUGAUUUCUUCUCCUGCUCUGUCAUUGUUUGUUCUCUAAUUCAAAAGCAUAAAAUAUUUCAAUCAAUUUUUAUACCAGGAAUAUGCAAAAGUUUCUAAUAUUUUAUUUCCAUCUGUUACAAGAUCAAACUGAAGCAGAACUCAAUCAAAAGUAUGCUGCUUCUUGCGGAAAUCUUGCCUUUGUUCAGAUUAUGAAACCAUUUCCAUGCAGCAAAUUCAUCCAAAAAUUUGA